rnacentral:rRNA from 1 species
UGGGGAAUAUUGCGCAAUGGGCGAAAGCCUGACGCAGCGACGCCGCGUGGGUGAUGAAGGCCUUCGGGUCGUAAAGCCCUGUCGCAGGGGAAGAAUAAGCAUCGGGAUAAUACCCCCCAUGGUGACGGUACCAUUUGUAAGCUCCGGCUAACUCCGUGCCAGCAGCCGCGGUAAUACGGGGGGAGCAAGCGUUGUUCGGAUUUACUGGGCGUAAAGGGCGCGUAGGCGGCGCAACAAGUCAGUUGUGAAAUCUCUGGGCUUAACCCAGAGCGGUCAACUGAUACUGUCGUGCUAGAGUGCGGAAGGGGCAACUGGAAUUCUCGGUGUAGCGGUGAAAUGCGUAGAUAUCGAGAGGAACACCUGCGGCGAAGGCGGGUUGCUGGGCCGACACUGACGCUGAGGCGCGAAAGCUAGGGGAGCGA